rnacentral:rRNA from 1 species
UACGUAGGGUGCGAGCGUUAAUCGGAAUUACUGGGCGUAAAGCGUGCGCAGGCGGUUUUAUAAGCCCGAUGUGAAAGCCCCGGGCUCAACCUGGGAAUGGCAUUUGGGACUGUAAGGCUGGAGUAUGGCAGAGGGGACUAGAAUUCCUGGUGUAGCAGUGAAAUGCGUAGAUAUCAGGAGGAAUACCGAUGGCGAAGGCAGGUCCCUGGGCCAAUACUGACGCUCAUGCACGAAAGCGUGGGGAGCAAACAGG